CAGCACCUCAAGUGGUCAGGAUGAUUAUUGGGCCUAAAGCAUCCGUAGCCUGCUUUGUUAGUUUUCGGUUAAAUCCAUACGCUCAACGUAUGGGCUGCCGGGAAUACUGCAAAGCUAGGGAGUGGGAGAGGUAGACGGUACUCGGUAGGAAGGGGUAAAAUCCUUUGAUCUAUUGAUGACCACCUGUGGCGAAGGCGGUCUACCAGAACACGUUCGACGGUGAGGGAUGAAAGCUGGGGGAGCAAACCGGAUUAGAUACCCGAGUAGUCC
rnacentral:rRNA from 1 species